rnacentral:rRNA from 1 species
AUUGAACGCUGGCGGCAGGCCUAACACAUGCAAGUCGAGCGGAUGAAGGGAGCUUGCUCCUGGAUUCAGCGGCGGACGGGUGAGUAAUGCCUAGGAAUCUGCCUGGUAGUGGGGGAUAACGUCCGGAAACGGGCGCUAAUACCGCAUACGUCCUGAGGGAGAAAGUGGGGGAUCUUCGGACCUCACGCUAUCAGAUGAGCCUAGGUCGGAUUAGCUAGUUGGUGGGGUAAAGGCCUACCAAGGCGACGAUCCGUAACUGGUCUGAGAGGAUGAUCAGUCACGCUGGAACUGAGACACGGUCCAGACUCCUACGGGAGGCAGCAGUGGGGAAUAUUGGACGAUGGGCGAAAGCCUGAUCCAGCCAUGCCGCGUGUGUGAAGAAGGUCUUCGGAUUGUAAAGCACUUUAAGUUGGGAGGAAGGGCAGUAAGUUAAUACCUUGCUGUUUUGACGUUACCAACAGAAUAAGCACCGGCUAACUUCGUG